AUUUUCUUAAUACAAUUAGUAUAGGUGACUUCCAAUCAUCAAAUCUUGGUUAAACCCCAAGAGAAAAUA
rnacentral:tRNA from 1 species